GCUUGUUCUGCCUAUUGUGACUCAUUUGUUCCCAUUGGAAACGACAAGCUGUGGUCUUUCUUGGUUUAGUUAUAAAAAUAUUUGGUUUUGUGCAAAUUCUGACUUGUGACAUUAAAUCGACGGCAAGCAUCAGAGUCAACGCAGCAAAAACACAUGCAAUUUAUUCAAUCUCCGAUCAUUGAAAUCAAGCCAUCCAGAAUGACACUAUACGAUUGAGGAUUAUGACGUUUUCCAGAUGGCUGGACGUACCUGUAUAGAAAGGGGAGAUAAUGUUCAGGUUCUGAGUAGUAAAGCUGAAGAACAUACGCACAUCCAGUCCCAAGGAGCUGCUGGUUGGCUUGCUUGAGCAGGUGGAGAAGACCCCGACUCCGUCGCCGAGACAGGUCAUCCUCCUGCUGCAGGAACCAGGCUCCUCUCAUAGCCUGGUUCCUGAUCUGUUUGUGUCGCAUUUGACAUAUGGUAUAUCCAAAUCCUACGGCCAUUGACAAAGAUCAUUCAACUAGAGGUAACUUCACCCUGUAUAGGGGUAGGCAUAACUAAUAUAGGGCCAACCCUACUUCUCCUGUAAUUGUGUGUGUGUGUGUUCUGCAGGGCAUCCUGUCGGGCAUCGGGGAGUCCCUCCCUGACCAGUUUCAGGAGGUAGUCACAUGGAAUGCAUUUCAAUUAACAGAAUUCGUCAAUACGUCCAACUGGCCUCACAACCACAGACCACCUGUAACCACACCAGCCCAGGACCUCCACAUCCGGCUUCUUCACCUGCGGGAUCGUAUGAGACCAGUCACCCAGACAGCUGAUGAAACUGAGGAGUAUUUCUGUCUGUAAUAAAGCCCUUUUGUGGGGAAAAAAUAA